rnacentral:rRNA from 1 species
CGUAGGGACCAAGCGUUGUUCGGAUUUACUGGGCGUAAAGGGCGCGUAGGCGGCAAUUCAAGUCAGUUGUGAAAUCUCCGAGCUUAACUCGGAACGGUCAACUGAUACUGUCUUGCUAGAGUACAGAAGGGGCAAUCGGAAUUCUUGGUGUAGCGGUGAAAUGCGUAGAUAUCAAGAGGAACACCUGAGGUGAAGACGGGUUGCUGGGCUGAUACUGACGCUGAGGCGCGAAAGCUAGGGUAGCAAACGGG